rnacentral:tRNA from 1 species
CAGUAAGUAUUUUAUUAAAAUUUAAGUUUUGGGGAUUUAAGAUGUGUUUUUAACGCUUUACUGA